ACUGUUGAAAACUUUUGAAAAUACUGAAAUAUGUAGUUGAAAAUAAGAAUGAAACUAAAAUAAGAAUGAUUUAGAGUAGCAUAAAAUUUUGACGGAAACAGCCGGGGUGCUCUUUGCUGCUGGACCCUGAAAGAAGACGGCGGCAGAAAGAAGAUGGCGGGUAUUUUAUGUAGCAAGUGGAUGUCCCUGAAGAAAUGAAAUCUGGAAUGGUAGAAGGUAUCUCUAUUGAUUCUUCUAAGUUGGAAUUGGCUAUGGUGACCAACAAUGGAUUUGAGGACCUUAUGGUGGAGAAAAACGUCCUUCUUUCCGGCCUCCAAUUAGAUGUUGAAGAUGAUUAAUCACUUGAGGAGAUGCUAACAACCAUGUUGCCUUUUAAUGUCACAGUACUUUCUAAAGGCGGCAGUAUAUUUACCAUCACAAAAGAAGAAUCAACAAAUCGUGGAAACUAAAAAAAUGUGGAAAAGAUCAUUGUAUACUGCAUUUGUAGUAAAUUUGUAUACAAUCUUCAAUUUACUUGAGUAGAAAGAUUCACUAGUUAUACCAAGUUUGUGUAGAAAGGAUCACUGUAUACUGAGUUUGUAGUGUACAUAGAAAGGUUUACUUAUUUAUUUUUUUUCUGAGUUUAGUGUAUACAAUAUAUAAAAAAAACUUUUUGUAGAAAAGAUCACCGCAUACUGAGUUUGUUGUUUACAAAUGUGUAGAAAAGAUCGCUGUAUACCGAGUUUAUAGUUUACAAUUGUCUAGAAAAAUCACUGUAUACUGAACAUAAUAUGACUUCUGUUUAAAACCUUCAUUUAAACUUAGGCAUGUAUUUUUUUAUGUAUCUUAAAAGUCUACCUACAACAAUUUUGUGUAUGCAAUCUUGUACUAGGAUAUUGACAUGACAAGAUUACAUUGCUGAUCAAAGCAUGGAAAGAAUACUGUAUCUAAAAACUGAAUAAAACAAGAUAUAAGCAUC